rnacentral:rRNA from 1 species
AGACAGUCUCAGUUCGGAUUGAAGGCUGAAAUCCGCCUUCAUGAAGCCGGAAUUGCUAGUAAUGGCAGGUCAGCAUACUGCCGUGAAUACGUUCCCGGGCCUUGUACACACCGCCCGUCACACCAUGAGAGUUGGGGAUACCCGAAGCCUGUGAGCUAACUUUUAGAGGCAGCAGUCGAAGGUAGAAUCAAUGAUUGGGGUGAAGUCGUAACAAGGUACC